UUGUAUUAAUACGGUAGGUAGUG
rnacentral:miRNA from 1 species